rnacentral:rRNA from 1 species
CCUACGGGACGCAGCAGUGGGGAAUAUUGCACAAUGGGCGGAAGCCUGAUGCAGCAACGCCGCGUGCGGGAUGACGGCCUUCGGGUUGUAAACCGCUUUCGCCUGUGACGAAGCGUGAGUGACGGUAAUGGGUAAAGAAGCACCGGCUAACUACGUGCCAGCAGCCGCGGUGAUACGUAGGGUGCGAGCGUUGUCCGGAUUUAUUGGGCGUAAAGGGCUCGUAGGUGGUUGAUCGCGUCGGAAGUGUAAUCUUGGGGCUUAACCCUGAGCGUGCUUUCGAUACGGGUUGACUUGAGGAAGGUAGGGGAGAAUGGAAUUCCUGGUGGAGCGGUGGAAUGCGCAGAUAUCAGGAGGAACACCAGUGGCGAAGGCGGUUCUCUGGGCCUUUCCUGACGCUGAGGAGCGAAAGCGUGGGGAGCGAACAGGAUUAGAUACCCGUGUAGUC